rnacentral:rRNA from 1 species
GACAGAGGUGCCGAGCGUUAGGCGGAAUCACUGGGCUUAAAGCGUGUGUAGGCGGGCGGGCAAGUACCUUGUGAAAUCCCACGGCUCAACCGUGGAACGGCUGGGUAUACUGCCUGUCUUGAGCCAGCUAGGGGCGAGCGGAACAGACGGUGGAGCGGUGAAAUGCGUGGAUAUCGUCUGGAACGCCGAAGGUGAAAACAGCUCGCUGGGGCUGUGCUGACGCUGAGACACGAAAGCCAGGGGAGCGAACGGG